rnacentral:rRNA from 1 species
CUACGGGAGGCAGCAGUGAGGAAUAUUGGUCAAUGGGCGCAAGCCUGAACCAGCCAUCCCGCGUGCAGGAUGACGGCCCUAUGGGUUGUAAACUGCUUUUGUUUGCCAAGAAUGGUCACUACGUGUAGUGAUUUGACGGUAGCGGAUGAAUAAGGACCGGCUAACUCCGUGCCAGCAGCCGCGGUAAUACGGAGGGUCCAAGCGUUAUCCGGAUUCAUUGGGUUUAAAGGGUGCGUAGGCGGGCCUUUAAGUCAGUGGUGAAAUCUUGCCGCUUAACGGUAAAAUUGCCAUUGAUACUGAAGGUCUUGAAUAUAGUUGAGGUAGGCGGAAUGUGUUGUGUAGCGGUGAAAUGCAUAGAUAUGACACAGAACGCCGAUUGCGAAGGCAGCUUACUAAGCUAUGAUUGACGCUGAGGCACGAAAGCGUGGGGAGCGAACAGGAUUAGAUACCCUCGUAGUC